UACAGAGGGUGCGAGCGUUAAUCGGAAUUACUGGGCGUAAAGCGCGCGUAGGCGGCUUUGCAAGUCGGGUGUGAAAUCCCCAGGCUUAACCUGGGAACUGCAUUCGAGACUGCAUUGCUAGAGUAUGGGAGAGGGAAGUGGAAUUUCCGGUGUAGCGGUGAAAUGCGUAGAUAUCGGAAGGAACAUCAGUGGCGAAAGCGCGCGACUGGACCUCUUCUGACGCUGAGGCGCGAAAGCCAGGGGAGCGAACGGG
rnacentral:rRNA from 1 species